rnacentral:rRNA from 1 species
AUUGAACGCUGGCGGCAUGCCUUACACAUGCAAGUCGAACGGCAGCACGGGUGCUUGCACCUGGUGGCGAGUGGCGAACGGGUGAGUAAUAUAUCAGAACGUACCUUAUUGUGGGGGAUAACGCAGCGAAAGCUGUGCUAAUACCGCAUAAUCCCUAAGGGGGAAAGCGGGGGACCGUAAGGCCUCGCGCAAUUAGAGCAGCCGAUACCUGAUUAGCUAGUUGGUGAGGUAAAGGCUCACCAAGGCAACGAUCAGUAGCUGGUCUGAGAGGACGAUCAGCCACACUGGGACUGAGACACGGCCCAGACUCCUACGGGAGGCAGCAGUGGGGAAUUUUGGACAAUGGGGGCAACCCUGAUCCAGCAAUGCCGCGUGAGUGAAGAAGGCCUUCGGGUUGUAAAGCUCUUUUGUCAGGGAAGAAACAGCAGCUCUAACACAGUUUGCGAAUGACGGUACCUGAAGAAUAGGCACCGGCUAACUACGUGCCAGCCGCCGCGGUAA